rnacentral:tRNA from 4 species
GGAGAGGUGGCCGAGCUGGCUGAAGGCAAGCGCCUGCUAAGCGUUUGUACUGGGAGACCGGUACCCAGGGUUCGAAUCCCUGCCUCUCCG